CCUACGGGUGGCAGCAGUGGGGAAUAUUGGGCAAUGGGCGCAAGCCUGACCCAGUAACGCCGCGUGAAGGAAGAAGGCUUUCGGGUUGUAAACUUCUUUUAAGAGGGAAGAGCAGAAGACGGUACCUCUUGAAUAAGCCACGGCUAACUACGUGCCAGCAGCCGCGGUAAUACGUAGGUGGCAAGCGUUGUCCGGAUUUACUGGGUGUAAAGGGCGUGUAGCCGGGAAGACAAGUCAGAUGUGAAAUCCCGCGGCUCAACCGCGGACCUGCAUUUGAAACUGUUGGUCUUGAGUAUCGGAGAGGUCGUCGGAAUUCCUAGUGUAGCGGUGAAAUGCGUAGAUAUUAGGAAGAACACCAGUGGCGAAGGCGGCCGGCUGGACGGCAACUGACGGUGAGGCGCGAAAGCGUGGGGAGCAAACAGGAUUAGAUACCCCUGUAGUC
rnacentral:rRNA from 1 species